UACGGAGGGUGCAAGCGUUGUCCGGAUUUAUUGGGUUUAAAGGGUGCGUAGGCGGUUAACUAAGUCAGUGGUGAAAGGCAGCAGCUUAACUGUUAGCACUGCCAUUGAUACUGGUUGACUUGAGUACAGACGAGGUAGGCGGAAUUUAUGGUGUAGCGGUGAAAUGCAUAGAUAUCAGGAGGAACACCAACGGCGAAGGCAGCACUCUGGGCCGGUACUGACGCUGAGGAGCGAAAGCGUGGGGAGCAAACAGG
rnacentral:rRNA from 1 species